rnacentral:rRNA from 1 species
UACGUAGGUGGCAAGCGUUAUCCGGAUUUAUUGGGCGUAAAGAGAACGCAGGCGGUCUUUUAAGUCUGAUGUGAAAGCCUACGGCUUAACCGGAGUAGUGCAUUGGAAACUGGGAGACUUGAGUGCAGAAGAGGAGAGUGGAACUCCAUGUGUAGCGGUGAAAUGCGUAGAUAUAUGGAAGAACACCAGUGGCGAAAGCGGCUCUCUGGUCUGUAACUGACGCUGAGGUUCGAAAGCGUGGGUAGCAAACAGG